rnacentral:sRNA from 1 species
GACGAGCUUAAAAAUUCGUUAAAGGGCAUAUCUGUGAAACCUUUGGUGUUUGCUUCUUACGCCCAGUUUGGGGUGGAUGCUGGAGAUGAAGAUAAUGGGCAACUCAUAAUGGCAUAUGAGAAAUGCCCCACUAUCUGUGGAGACCAGUUAUUGUGGUUAAUCUAUACGUUAUUACUGAUGAUUGAUUACGGAACUGGAUAGAAACCUGUAUUGUGGCGAAAGCUAUGUGCAGCGUAGCCUGUCUUGAGUGAGAGUUUUGGGAUAAAUGAUCUUAUUUAUUAUAAGCGGCCACUUAUAAUAAAUAUUGCAUUUUGAAAUGACUCUUGCAAAAAAGAAUUAGAGAUGAAGAAUUGUUGGGGAAAUCCCCUAGAGUGUACUAUUAAAUUAGGAUUGCAGUGGAUACUAAGUGGUAAUCAAGUCAUAUGAACGGUGACGUCAUAGAGAUUCUUAUAAUGGGGAACCGCAAUUCUGGUAACGGAAUUGUAAGAAUCGGGGAAAUCCUACUUGACCUAAGAUUCAAAGUUAACUAUUUUAAUCGCCAACAAUUAA